AUAGCAAAAGAAAUGUGUCUUCAAUCUUUUAAUUCUUCAUUCGUUCAGCGACUAGUAGAAUGUGAUAAAACCACGUGCUCGCGAGAAAAUUCUCAUUAAUGAUGAUGAUAGCGGCCAGAGACAGAUACCUAGAUGCUCGACGAAGAUGGAAGACGCCGAGGCACUUGAGCAAUUCCGAGGUGGAGGCCUGGAUGACGGUUUUCCUUGGACCAGGGGGCAGGGGUUUCUGCACCAAUUUCUCACACGUCGGAUUGUGCGUGGUGUGAUUGUUGUUUGACGCCGGUGGUUUUGUCUAAUUGAAUCCAGAAACAGAAAUUGUUAGUGAGAGGGUGAAACUUUGUAAGGAGAGAAACUACUUGUGCAACAUGUCACGCGAGUGAAGACGUCGAAAGGAUCGAUACACUUUCGAUCGUGUCUGAGGUCAAAGUACGUUGUGUAUAUUUUAUUCCUCGCACUAUAAAUCUCCCUCAACGGUCUCUAGAUACUUCUCUAGAUACAACAGAGAAACGUGC